UGACAGUCAGCAUGGCAGAUGAAUAACCCGGCUAGAGCCCCCUCCCCACUGCUGGGGAAACUUAACCCUAUCCUAGCUGAACCAGGACAUAAACCACCCCUUUAUUCUAUUGCAUCUGUGUAUGUCCAGUUG